UACGUAGGGGGCAAGCGUUGUCCGGAUUUAUUGGGCGUAAAGCGCGUGUAGGCGGCCAGGUAGGUCCGCUGUGAAACCCGAGGCUCAACCUCGGGACGUCGCGGAAACCAUCUGGCUAGAGUCCGGAAGAGGAGAGUGGAAUUCCCGGUGGUAGCGGUGAAAUGCGCAGAUAUCGGGAAGAACACCCGUGGCGAAGGCGG
rnacentral:rRNA from 1 species